rnacentral:rRNA from 1 species
AACGAACGUUGGCGGCGUGGAUUAGGCAUGCAAGUUGAGCGUACUCCGCAAGGAGAAGCAGCGUAAGGGGCAGUAAGGCAUGGGUACCUACCUCGGGUUCAGGUAUAGCCUGUAGAGAUACAGGGUAAUCCCUGAUGAUGUCGUAAGACCAAAGCUCCGGCGACCGGAGAGGGGCCCAUGUGAUAUUAGCUAGUUGGUGGGGUAACGGCCCACCAAGGCGAAGAUGUCUAGCGGGUGUGAGAGCACGACCCGCGCCACUGGCACUGAGACACUGGCCAGACACCUACGGGUGGCUGCAGCCGAGGAUCUUCGGCAAUGGGCGUAAGCCUGACCGAGCGACGCCGCGUGCGGGAUGAAGGCCUUCGGGUUGUAAACCGCUGUCAGGGGGGAGGAAAUGCUACGGGGUUCUCCCCGUAGUUUGACCUAGCCUCAGAGGAAGUACGGGCUAAGUUCGUGCCAGCCGCCGCCGUAACAC